UGGGGUAUCGCCAAGCGGUAAGGCACCGGUUUUUGAUACCGGCAUACCCUGGUUCGAAUCCAGGUACCCCAGCCA
rnacentral:tRNA from 5 species